rnacentral:SRP_RNA from 1 species
GCCGGACAUGGUGGCGUAUGCCUGUAAUCCCAGCUACUUGGGAGGCUGAGGCAGGAGAAUUGCUUGAACCCAGGAGGCAGAGGUUGCAGUGAGCUGAGAUCACGCCACUGCACUCCAGCCUGGGCAACAGAGCUAGACUCUGUCUCAA